CUUCCAGUAGCACCUUAGAGACCAAUGAAGUUUGUUAUUGGUAUGAGAUUUUACUUGGUCUCUAAGGUGCUACUGGAAG